ensembl:antisense 4933431G14Rik RIKEN cDNA 4933431G14 gene
UGGGCCUGGUGACUGAAGACCAAUGCUGGCCUGAGACCUCCGCCUCCCCCCAAGCCAUCGUAGCCACAGAGCCUAGGGUGAUCAUCUCGAUAAUGAAUUUCUACCGAGACAGAUUUCAGAUGACAGGCACCACCCAGGAAUCAGUUGCAAACUACAGACUGAUCCAGAUGGCUUUGAGCCCUGGACUUGCUGAAAGCUGACAUGGACCAAGCCAGCUGAUGUGGAUUGCUCCCUGUCUCUCCAGCUGGGUCAGCUCACCAGAUGCUUCUAAUGAAUGCUCCAUUCCCUGAAUCUGAGGACGACAUCUUAAUUUCAGCAUGAAGUAGUUAAAGAGAGUAGAGUGUGCCACCCUGUGUCCUCCUCAACAGGCUGUGAUGUUAGGUCAAAAGGACCUGGCACAGGGGACAAAACGGCUGCAUAUCUUGCCCACUGGCAUACCAGGAAAGGUACUUGUUGAAACCAAAUAGACUCAGAUCUAUCAACAGGCUCCUCCUGGAUAGUAACUGAUGUCAGCCAAUGCAGGGCCUUUGACCUUUCUGUUUCUACUAAUUACUGUUGGCCCUGGCAUCAUUAAUGCCUUAACUUGAUGAUAAUUCUCAUCUGGGUACCAUUAAGCUGAUGGUUAUUAGAUCCCAGUGUAAACAGGUACCUGCCACAGAGUUGAGGAUUUGACUCAGGAUACAACCCAAGGGGGAUUGACUCAGCACCAUUUCCUGGGAACCUCAGAAUACUCGAGACCAGAGUCCACCACCUUGGCCAGUAUUUAAUUAAAGCUUGCUUCAAGUUUGGCUCAAGAUAUUGUGGUAGUGGUCUUAUUCUCAGCCAGUGGGAUUAUUAAUACAAGGUCACAGGGUGGACUUCUGGAUGAUAAAGUAAGAAGACACCUAUUUAAGCAGCUGCUAAUCCUUAAGUGCUAUAACCUGCAGUUCCCAGGAAAAAAAAGCCACACAACUGUGUUGAAGAUUCUAAACCAGCUAUGGGGUCUGAACUUUACAACUUGGGAGAGCUGGAAAGCUGUUGAUCCAGAAUCCAGAUUAUCUUGGGCUAUCUUAAUAACCCCCACUAGCCACUGCACACCCAUGUUCUACACCUGAACUAUUAACUCACAACCAACCUAAGGGCUAACACCGUCAUCACACAGUAUCUAAAACCUGCGGCAGAGAUGUCCCCACUCUGCUGUACCCUACCUACCAUGUGAUGGGUAAAUUACUUUAAUAAUCCAUGAGCUUCUUUUGUUUUGUGUCUAUUAAAAAAUUCACAUAAUUGUU